GGCGGUGUGGCGCAAUGGUAGCGUGUGGUCCUCCUAUUCUUUCCUCGUAAGAGUUUGAGUUCCAAAGACUAAGGUUACAGGUUCGAGUCCUGUCAUCGUCG